rnacentral:rRNA from 1 species
GUAGAACGCUGAGGAUUGGUGCUUGCACUAAUCCAAAGAGUUGCGAACGGGUGAGUAACGCGUAGGUAACCUACCUCAUAGCGGGGGAUAACUAUUGGAAACGAUAGCUAAUACCGCAUGACACUAGAGUACACAUGUACUUAAUUUAAAAGGAGCAAUUGCUUCACUAUGAGAUGGACCUGCGUUGUAUUAGCUAGUUGGUGAGGUAACGGCUCACCAAGGCGACGAUACAUAGCCGACCUGAGAGGGUGAUCGGCCACACUGGGACUGAGACACGGCCCAGACUCCUACGGGAGGCAGCAGUAGGGAAUCUUCGGCAAUGGACGGAAGUCUGACCGAGCAACGCCGCGUGAGUGAAGAAGGUUUUCGGAUCGUAAAGCUCUGUUGUUAGAGAAGAACGGUAAUGGGAGUGGAAAAUCCAUUACGUGACGGUAACUAACCAGAAAGGGACGGCUAACUACGUGCCAGCAGCCGCGGUAAUACGUAGGUCUCGAGCGUUGUCCGGAUUUAUUGGGCGUAAAGCGAGCGCAGGCGGUUCUAUAAGUCUGAAGUAAAAGGCAGUGGCUCAACCAUUGUAUGCUUUGGAAACUGUAGAACUUGAGUGCAGAAGGGGAGAGUGGAAUUCCAUGUGUAGCGGUGAAAUGCGUAGAUAUAUGGAGGAACACCGGUGGCGAAAGCGGCUCUCUGGUCUGUAACUGACGCUGAGGCUCGAAAGCGUGGGGAGCAAACAGGAUUAGAUACCCUGGUA